AAUCUCCUGUCACCACAGACCAGCCUAUUUCCCCUGAGCCUAUUACUCAACCCAGUUGCAUCAAGAGGCAGAGAGCCGCUGGGAACCCUGGCUCCCUCGCAGCUCCCAUUGACCAUAAGCCUUGCUCUGCACCCUUGGAACCUAAAUCCCAGGCCUCAAGGAACCAAAGAUGGGGAGCAGUGAGAGCAGCUGAAUCCCUUACAGCCAUUCCUGAGCCUGCCUCUCCCCAGCUUCUUGAGACACCAAUUCAUGCCUCCCAGAUCCAAAAGGUGGAACCAGCAGGUAGAUCUAGGUUCACCCCGGAGCUCCAGCCUAAGGCCUCUCAAAGCCGCAAGAGGUCUUUAGCUACCAUGGAUUCACCACCACAUCAAAAACAGCCCCAAAGAGGGGAAGUCUCCCAGAAGACAGUGAUUAUCAAGGAAGAGGAAGAAGAUACUGCAGAGAAGCCAGGGAAGGAAGAGGUGAGGAGAGGGUUGGGACCACAAAGCUGGGAAAAAUGACUUCAGGGCUCUGAAACUCCCACCAAGAUUUUUCUCAAUCUCAGGAUGUCGUGACUCCAAAACCAGGCAAGAGAAAGAGAGACCAGGCAGAGGAGGAGCCCAACAGAAUACCAAGCCGCAGCCUCCGACGGACCAAACUUAACCAAGAAUCAACAGCCCCCAAAGUGCUCUUCACAGGAGUGGUGGAUGCUCGGGGAGAGCGGGCUGUGCUGGCACUGGGGGGAAGUCUGGCUGGUUCAGCGGCAGAGGCUUCCCACCUGGUCACUGAUCGCAUCCGCCGGACAGUCAAGUUCCUGUGUGCCCUGGGGCGGGGAAUCCCCAUUCUGUCCCUGGACUGGCUGCAUCAGUCCCACAAGGCUGGUUUCUUCUUACCCCCGGAUGAAUAUGUGGUGACCGACCCUGAGCAAGAGAAGAACUUUGGCUUUAGCCUUCAAGACGCACUGAGCAGGGCUCGGGAGCGAAGGCUGCUAGAGGGCUAUGAGAUCUAUGUGACCCCUGGAGUCCAGCCACCACCACCUCAGAUGGGAGAGAUCAUUAGCUGCUGUGGAGGCACAUACCUACCCAGCAUGCCUCGGUCCUAUAAGCCUCAGAGAGUUGUGAUCACAUGCCCUCAGGACUUCCCUCAUUGCUCCAUUCCACUACGGGUUGGGCUGCCCCUCCUCUCGCCUGAGUUCCUGCUGACUGGAGUGCUGAAGCAGGAAGCCAAGCCAGAGGCCUUUGUCCUCUCCCCUUUGGAGAUGUCAUCCACCUGAGAACUCCACUACCCUUUUCCCUCCCAGACCACGAAUUAGAAGAUAUGUGGAAGAAAGAACUCAGGGCGUUAGAAAGGAUUGGGGUAUAUUGAUACAACUUGUCCUGGAACAUGGGUGGGACCAGAAAUCUUUAUGAAUAAAUGAAAAGAU
rnacentral:sRNA from 1 species